GACGAACGCUGGCGGCGUGCUUAACACAUGCAAGUCGAACGAGUGGCGAACGGGUGAGUAAUAUGUGAGUAACCUGCCCUCUUUUUGGGAUAAGCCUUGGGAACGGGGUCUAAUACCGGCUAAAGGGGGAUGGGCUCGAGGCCUAUCAGCUUGUUGGUGGGGUGAUGGCAUACCAAUGCGGUGACGGGUAGCCGGGCUGAGAGGGUAGACGGGCACAGUGGGACGGUGAUGCGGCCCAGGGGAGUACGGGGGGGGGCAGUGGGGGAUAUUGCAGAAUGGGCGAUGGCCUGAUGCCGCGACGCCGAGGGGGGGAUGAAGGCUUUCGAGUUGUAAACCUGUGUCGGUAGCGAACGGGUAGGUGGAGAAGAAGCGCCGGCUAACUACGUGCCAGCAGCCGCGGUAAUUC
rnacentral:rRNA from 1 species